rnacentral:sRNA from 1 species
GCCAAUUUGCAUCAAAUGCCCUCUAACCAAUAAAUCGCCAAAUAAAUUUCAACCCCAAAAUAGCAAAUAAUGAUUCAAAACCCCAAGUAUAUAUACUGCUCAACCAUGAUUUUAGGAUCUAUUGAGACUCUUUUUCUUUCUUUCUCAAAACUAUGAAAAUAAUGUAUCUAGACUUUACUUCUUUCAUCAUCAAGGAUUUACAAGUUUGUUCAAUAUUGCUCAAAAGUGUCAAGUAUCGAGAAUUGUGAUCGAUUAUAAUCACUUAUUGGUGGAGCAUCAAACAUGUAAAUGCAUUUUUACUUAUUUCGACGGAAUAGAGCUUUCGUUGAACCAUUCAUACAUGGAGUGAUCGAGCUAUUGUUUGGACCGUAUUAACGGAUCAACAUGUAUUCAUGUUUUGAUAUCAUGUUAAUUUGUUAUGGGGUUCCAAUUCUAAAUCAAUUUGGCAAUAAAUAAAUUAACUCAUGUCUUUUAUGUAUUACUCAAAUCCAUUUUCAUCUCUGAUGUGAGACCUUUCUUCACAAUAUAUCAAAUAACUGGGUUUGAAACCUUUUUCGAAAAUUACUAUUAAUAUUAUUAACUCCAUAAUGUUUUAGCUACAGUGCAUUAAUGUCAAAUAUUCUGUAUACACGUGGAAACCUCAAUAAGAAUUAGCAAUUUGACAGAAUAAAUAACAAGUAAUUGGCUCUUCAAUCCUAGGAAGUAAUUAAGUACCCCCUAUCGCUCAUUAAAAUUUUGGAGUUGUACGUGUUAAAUUAUUAAAACUCCAACAUGAGUGAUUCUUGGCAUGUGUCUCCUAACCAAAUCUUUCUCAGUUCUUGUAAGCUGCCACGUUAAGAAAAAAGGUGCUGUGUAAUUCCUUGGUUAGUUUAUAUCUAAGAAAUAGAUAAAUUAAUACACUAAUCCAUAAUGUAGUUCAUUUCUAAGGAUCAUAACCCACGUUUCAUUCUUGUUUAAUCACUCUUUUUUUUUUUUUUAAUGAAUUUUAAUCAUCAUUUGAUUAGUUUAUAGGGUACUGCAAACAAUAAUGAAUAUCUUAAUUAGAAAUGAAACUAUAUCACAUAAGUGAAUCUCCCAUGAAGACAGGGAUUUCGUAAGAAACAAGUACAAAUAAACUAAUGUAUGGAAACUUUUGAAGUGCCUCAUGGAGUUAUUUAUCCACUUUGGUUGUUUUGUAAAGACAAAAUUUGUAGUGCCCUUUGAAAUACUUAAAAGGGAGGAUAUUCCCACAACUUAUAUUACUAGUUUUAGUGGAUACGAAUCUCUAUUUCGUAUUUUAUUAAUCAAAUACUUAUAUUAUAAUAGCA